rnacentral:rRNA from 1 species
GACGAACGCUGGCGGCGUGCCUAAUACAUGCAAGUCGAGCGGACGUUUUAUUGGUGCUUGCACCGAUUUAACGUUAGCGGCGGACGGGUGAGUAACACGUGGGCAACCUGCCCUGUAGAUUGGGAUAACUCCGGGAAACCGGGGCUAAUACCGAAUAAUACUUUUUAACUCAUGUUAGAAAGUUGAAAGAUGGUUUACGCUAUCACUACAGGAUGGGCCCGUGGCGCAUUAGCUAGUUGGUGAGGUAACGGCUCACCAAGGCAACGAUGCGUAGCCGACCUGAGAGGGUGAUCGGCCACACUGGGACUGAGACACGGCCCAGACUCCUACGGGUGGCUG